rnacentral:rRNA from 1 species
UGGUGUUGUAAAAUGUCUGGUUAAUUCCGAUAACGAACGAGAUCCAAACUUUCAAGUUGGCACCUAUAGUAGUUCUAUAUGAUGGGCUCUUUGAAGGACUACUGACCUAAGUCAGGGAAGUUUUGGGCUAAAUCA